rnacentral:rRNA from 1 species
UACAGAGGGUGCGAGCGUUAAUCGGAAUUACUGGGCGUAAAGCGUGCGUAGACGGUUAUUUAAGUCGGGUGUGAAAGCCCCGGGCUCAACCUGGGAAUUGCAUUCGAGACUGAAUAGCUAGGGUACGGUAGAGGGAAGUGGAAUUUCCGGUGUAGCGGUGAAAUGCGUAGAUAUCGGAAGGAACAUCAGUGGCGAAAGCGCGUGACUGGGCCACAACUGACGCUGAGGAACGAAAGCCAGGGGGAGCGAAAAGGG